GGAGUGCGUGUCCCCUGUGAUCGGCGUUUAUUGGGAAGAGGAGGGAGACGGGGGUUCUAUCAGUAGGAGGGCCAGAGCCAGAAGGAAUGGUCGGCGGCGAAGCCGAAGUUGGGGAGGCGGCGCGCCUCCUCGGCGUCGUCGUCCGCCGCCGGAGAGCGGUCGGAGUUGUCGAGCUCGAGGGCGGCGGUGGAGGAGGAGGUGGGCUCGACGGCAGGGGAGCUCCAUCCCCGGUCGCUGUGGUGGGGGCUGUCGCCGUCGAGCACGCCGCUGUUGGUGGCGCUGAGGUCUUCCUGCUUGCCGGUGACAAGCGGGUGGUGGCGGAGCUCCGAAGCCGCCGCGGCCGCCGUCGACGCCGGCGGAUCUCGCCUCUGCAACAGCGAGUGGGUUCUCGGUUCCUGGCGUGGCGGAGAGCCGCUUCUGCCCUUCUCCUUGAGGAGGAGCUUCUCUGUCAGAGCAAUAACCUGUCGGCAAAAUUAUGAAGAACACGGUCACGAUCAGAGUCCCCAUUCUCGCCACUGAUCGCCACUUUUCGCAGAAAAUAUUCGUCAAAGAAUGAAACACAAUCCAAUCAGGAUUCAUCCUGAGCAAGACCCAAGUGCCGCACUCAAUCGAAUCACGGUGCAGAACACACAGGAGCCCAUUCCAAAGCUUCCAUGGCCGGCGAUUUUUUUUAAUUUUUAUUCUUUUUUCAUGCAAGAUUGGGAAUUGAAAGAGCUUGUAAUCGGGUUGAAGAUGAUCACCUCUGAUCUGAGCUUCUCCUUCUCCUUCGCCAGGGCCUCGUAGUUGGCCCUGAGAGAGCUGUAGCUGGACUGCAGCACCUCGUAGUCCCUCUCGAGCUGCUUCGUCUUCCACCUCGCCCGCCUGUUCUGAAACCAGAUGGCGACCUGCCUGGGCUGCAGUCCGAGCUCCUUGGCGAGCCGGAGCUUCCUCUCUGGCUCUAGCUUGUUCUCCAUCUCGAAGCUCCUCUCGAGGGACUGGACCUGGUCGGUUCUCAGCCGCCGCUUCUUCUCCGGCUGGUGCGGGUGCUCCUCGAGAUCAUCAUCCCCUGCUUCCUCCGACUCCCCCCGCCGGUACAAGGAUCGCUCGGGCGCGCCCCCGGGGGCGUCCUCGAACUUCAGCAUCGAUCCCGGACCUGGAAGAACACCCACAGGAAAUCAUGAAUAUAAUCUGGAUUUGCAACAAUUCGACUGCAAUAGUCUCGGACGACUCAGAAAUCCCGAGCAUUCAUCGUCGCAGACGGUCUUUCAUUCUAAUGACGGAGGGAAGAUCAGAGCAGGGAGCCGGGGGGAGGAAGACGCCCCGAUCGAAAUGGUGACGAGAAUAAAGAACGAAGAUCGACGAACAAUCAGAAUCGGAGUCGGCGUCACCUUCAGAUCCCGGAACCGAUGCCCUAGGCGUGGUUGCAGAUGAUCCGAUCUAAGAAAAUAAAGGCAUCCUAGAGGAAGAGCGGCUCGGAACUGGAAGGGGAGGAGGGAGAAAGGAUGCGUAGAGAGAGAAGGGGAAAUUUACCACGGACGCCGGAAGAAGCUCCAGAAGCCAGGAAGGCGACGAUGGACUCCCGAGAGAUCCCGUCGAUCGGAAGGAACUCAGCCAUAUUCGACCCUCCGUAAACUCUCCGUUCGGCCAUCUGCUCCCCCUCUCGCCCUCUCACUAUGGAGAAGAACAGAAACCGUUUCUCGGCCGCAGAGGAAGAUCGGGAGCCGUCAGAAGAUCACCUCCUGGGGGCCAAACGGCCGGAGAGGCAUGGUUUCUCCGCAGAAUUGGGGCGAUCCUUGCGGCUCCCACCGCCCCCCGGACCUACUGCUUAUGGCGGAAGAAGCUGGUUAUCAUGAUCACGGAGCUCUGAGAACUCGGGUGGCUCCCACCCAUCCCGCUCAGGGGAGGCGACGAAGACGACCCAGCUCCUUCCCCCUCCUCACCCUUCCAGGGAGGGAAGCCUGCAGUAGCUUCCACCUCCGAUCCAGCCUAUAUAACGCGCAGAGAGAGAGAGAGAGAGGAGCGAAGACGGGGAGAAGCAGCGGGGAAAGGACGACUCUCUCUCUCUCCUCUCUCUUCUUUCUCUCUCUCUCGCGCUCUCUGAAUCCUGUUCAGUCGGCUCUGGUUCUUCCAACGGACACUUCCCGCAGGAAGGCGGGGGGGAGGGCAGAGGAUAAUAAAGCCGAGGAAGGGGAAGAGAUCUCCUGGUUUCGGUUUAUCGGAUACCCGGUCGGAUACCCUUUUCUUUAAUACAUUAUUAUUUUCGCGGAGGCCACCCUCGCGGGGCCCGCUUUGUGAGGAAUCUGGGCCCACUGGCCACGUUCUGCGCCGCCGCCCCGGGCCCCGCGCGAUGCGACCCCGACCGCCCCGGGAGAAUAUCGCUCUAAUUGGGCCGCCCUCGCGGCCCACCACCAGGCGGCUGUGCGUCAGUCGUGCGGGAGACGUCUCUGACCGCGAGGUCUCAUCCGCGGAGGCCCAAUAGGGAGGAGGCACCGGCUGCUGGGCCCCACAAUCCAGACGGCCCAAUAGCCGUGGAGCCCAUCGUCAGGGGGGGCAGCCUAGGGUUUGCCGUGGGCGCCACCUCCACCAUGCGUCACUGUCGUCGCCGUCGUCGUCGUCCACACGCGAGAGGAGGAGAGGAAAAAAAACACAGAGCAGCGAGCAGGGGACGGGGGUUGGUUUGGGUUGGGUUGGUUCGAGGCGGGAAACAGGAAAGAAGGAACAAGAAACAAGAAACACCUGGUGGUCCUUUGGUCUCUCCCGCCCCAGAAUUAUUGCCCACAGGCGCCGGAAAGGAAGAAGGGGUAGCCAGCCAGCUAGCCAGCUAGCUGGCUAGGUAGCUGCUCGUCCAUGGAGGAAGAGGAUCCCAAAAAAGGGAAGUGGGAGGGGAAAAAUAUUCAGGGCUUGAGGACGAGGGAGAGGCCCACCUUGGAGCUCUUGUCGAUGGCCUUGGUGUCGACCUCGCCGGAGAUGGUGACGAGGGACUUGGGCCGCCACUCGUGCUGCACGAGGGCGCUGGCCUUGCCGAAGUUGUUCACGCGGGCCUUCACCGUGGUGAGGGGGUCCAGCGCGUGCUGGGUGCCGAAAGUCAGCGUGUUCUCGUUGCUCGAGAAGCUGUGGGUCAGCUCCGCCCCCACCGCCGUGGUCGUCAGCGGGCUCACCAGGUGGUAGUAGGACGCCGUCAGGCUGUCCCCCUUGUCGUUCCUGCCGUGGCGCCGCCGCGCCGGCGGUCAGAGCAGAGCCUAGACAAGGGCAGAGGAAGAGGAACAAGAGGUUUUGAUAACUUACAGGGUGAGGGAGGCGAUGAGGUCGGCGUUGGUGACGGUGACGGCCGCGUUGUACUUGGUGAAGGCCCCGGAGGCGGUGUCGAAGGAGAGGUCGGCGCCGGC
rnacentral:lncRNA from 1 species